rnacentral:rRNA from 1 species
ACCAAGGAGUCUAGCAUGUGCGCGAGUCAUUGGGACCGUACUAAACCUAAAGGCGAAAUGAAAGUGAACGUCCGCCUCGCGCGGACACAGGGAGGAUGGGCGCGCCCUCGGGCCGCUCCGCACUCCCGGGGCGUCUCGUUCUCAUCGCGAGAGGAGGCGCACCCAGAGCGUACACGCUGGGACCCGAAAGAUGGUGAACUAUGCCUGGUCAGGACGAAGUCAGGGGAAACCCUGAUGGAGGUCCGUAGCGAUUCUGACGUGCAAAUCGAUCGUCGGAACUGGGUAUAGGGGCGAAAGACUAAUCGAACCAUCUAGUAGCUGGUUCCCUCCGAAGUUUCCCUCAGGAUAGCUGGCGCUCGCAGUGUGCGAGUCUCAUCCGGUAAAGCGAAUGAUUAGAGGCAUUGGGGUCGAAACGGCCUCAACCUAUUCUCAAACUUUAAAUGGGUGAGAUCUCCGGCUUGCUCGAACACGUGAAGCCGCGAGAUAUCGGAUCAGAGUGCCAAGUGGGCCACUUUUGGUAAGCAGAACUGGCGCUGUGGGAUGAACCAAACGCAGAGUUAAAGCGCCCAAAUCGACGCUUAUGGGAUACCAUGAAAGGCGUUGGUAACUUAAGACAGCAGG